GACGAGUUCUCGUUGAUGAUCGGUGCUUGCACCGAGAUUCAACAUGGAACGAGUGGCGGACGGGUGAGUAACACGUGGGUAACCUGCCCUUAAGUGGGGGAUAACAUUUGGAAACAGAUGCUAAUACCGCAUAGAUCCAAGAACCGCAUGGUUCUUGGCUGAAAGAUGGCGUAAGCUAUCGCUUUUGGAUGGACCCGCGGCGUAUUAGCUAGUUGGUGAGGUAAUGGCUCACCAAGGCGAUGAUACGUAGCCGAACUGAGAGGUUGAUCGGCCACAUUGGGACUGAGACACGGCCCAAACUCCUACGGGAGGCAGCAGUAGGGAAUCUUCCACAAUGGACGCAAGUCUGAUGAGCAACGCCGCGUGAGUGAAGAAGGCUUUCGGGUCGUAAAACUCUGUUGUUGGAGAAGAAUGGUCGGCAGAGUAACUGUUGUCGGCGUGACGGUAUCCAACCAGAAAGCCACGGCUAACUACGUGCCAGCAGCCGCGGUAAUACGUAGGUGGCAAGCGUUAUCCGGAUUUAUUGGGCGUAAAGCGAGCGCAGGCGGUUUUUUAAGUCUGAUGUGAAAGCCCUCGGCUUAACCGAGGAAGCGCAUCGGAAACUGGGAAACUUGAGUGCAGAAGAGGACAGUGGAACUCCAUGUGUAGCGGUGAAAUGCGUAGAUAUAUGGAAGAACACCAGUGGCGAAGGCGGCUGUCUGGUCUGUAACUGACGCUGAGGCUCGAAAGCAUGGGUAGCGAACAGGAUUAGAUACCCUGGUAGUCCAUGCCGUAAACGAUGAAUGCUAGG
rnacentral:rRNA from 1 species